rnacentral:rRNA from 1 species
UCGGCAAGGGGGUCAUCCCGACUUACCAACCCGAUGCAAACUGCGAAUACCGGAGAAUGUUAUCACGGGAGACACACGGCGGGUGCUAACGUCCGUCGUGAAGAGGGAAACAACCCAGACCGCCAGCUAAGGUCCCAAAGUCAUGGUUAAGUGGGAAACGAUGUGGGAAGGCCCAGACAGCCAGGAUGUUGGCUUAGAAGCAGCCAUCAUUUAAAGAAAGCGUAAUAGCUCACUGGUCGAGUCGGCCUGCGCGGAAGAUGUAACGGGGCUAAACCAUGCACCGAAGCUGCGGCAGCGACACUAUGUGUUGUUGGGUAGGGGAGCGUUCUGUAAGCCUGUGAAGGUGUACUGUGAGGUAUGCUGGAGGUAUCAGAAGUGCGAAUGCUGACAUAAGUAACGAUAAAGCGGGUGAAAAGCCCGCUCGCCGGAAGACCAAGGGUUCCUGUCCAACGUUAAUCGGGGCAGGGUGAGUCGACCCCUAAGGCGAGGCCGAAAGGCGUAGUCGAUGGGAAACAGGUUAAUAUUCCUGUACUUGGUGUUACUGCGAAGGGGGGACGGAGAAGGCUAUGUUGGCCGGGCGACGGUUGUCCCGGUUUAAGCGUGUAGGCUGGUUUUCCAGGCAAAUCCGGAAAAUCAAGGCUGAGGCGUGAUGACGAGGCACUACGGUGCUGAAGCAACAAAUGCCCUGCUUCCAGGAAAAGCCUCUAAGCAUCAGGUAACAUCAAAUCGUACCCCAAACCGACACAGGUGGUCAGGUAGAGAAUACCAAGGCGCUUGAGAGAACUCGGGUGAAGGAACUAGGCAAAAUGGUGCCGUAACUUCGGGAGAAGGC